rnacentral:rRNA from 1 species
AACGAACGCUGGCGGCAGGCUUAACACAUGCAAGUCGAACGCAUCCUUCGGGGUGAGUGGCAGACGGGUGAGUAACACGUGGGAACGUACCUUUCGGUUCGGGAUAACCCAGGGAAACUUGGGCUAAUACCGGAUACGUCCUUUGGGAGAAAGAUUCAUUCGACCGAAAGAUCGGCCCGCGUCUGACUAGCUAGUUGGUGAGGUAAUGGCUCACCAAGGCGACGAUCAGUAGCUGGUCUGAGAGGAUGAUCAGCCACACUGGGACUGAGACACGGCCCAGACUCCUACGGGAGGCAGCAGGUGGGGAAUAUUGGACAAUGGGCGCAAGCCUGAUCCAGCCAUGCCGCGUGAGUGAUGAAGGCCCGUAGGGUUGUAAAGUCUCUUUCGGGCGGGGACGAUAAUGACGGUACCCGCAGAAGAAGCCCC